UACGUAGGGGUCGAGCGUUGUCCGGAGUUACUGGGCGUAAAGCGUGCGCAGGCGGCUAUGCAAGACCGAUGUGAAAUCCCCGGGCUUAACCUGGGAAUGGCAUUGGUGACUGCACGGCUAGAGUGUGUCAGAGGGGGUAGAAUUCCACGUGUAGCAGUGAAAUGCGUAGAGAUGUGGAGGAAUACCGAUGGCGAAGGCAGCCCCCUGGGAUAACACUGACGCUCAUGCACGAAAGCGUGGGGAGCAAACAGG
rnacentral:rRNA from 1 species